GAUGAACGCUGGCGGUGUGCUUAACACAUGCAAGUCGAACGAAGUCUAAUAUUUUAGAGCACUGCUUUAAAAUCUUAGUCUGCAGUGGCGGACGGGUGCGUAACGCGUAAGAACUUACCUUUCGGAGGGGGAUAACAAUGGGAAACUGUUGCUAAUACCCCAUAAUGCUGAGGAGCUAAAAGGUGAAUAACCACCGAAAGAGAGGCUUGCGUCUGAUUAGCUAGUUGGUGGGGGUAAUGGCCUCCCAAGGCGACGAUCAGUAGCUGGUCUGAGAGGAUGAUCAGCCACACUGGGACUGAGACACGGCCCAGACUCCUACGGGAGGCAGCAGUGGGGAAUUUUCCGCAAUGGGCGAAAGCCUGACGGAGCAAUACCGCGUGGAGGAUGAAGCAUCGUGGUGUGUAAACUCCUUUUCUCAGAGAAGAAGAUCUGACGGUAUCUGAGGAAUAAGCACUGGCUAACUUCGUGCCAGCAGCCGCGGUAAUU
rnacentral:rRNA from 1 species